GGUUUUGGCCGGCAAAUUCACACGUGCAUCGUCACCGCUGCCUGGGUGCCUCAGGGUCGAAUAUAGCCACAGAGGUUGGGUCGUCGGGAUGUACGGAGGCUUAAC
rnacentral:sRNA from 1 species